CAGUCGCCGCGGGAAUACGGAGGGUGCAAGCGUUAAUCGGAAUUACUGGGCGUAAAGCGCACGCAGGCGGUCUGACAAGUCAGAUGUGAAAUCCCCGGGCUUAACCUGGGAACUGCAUUUGAAACUGUCAGGCUGGAGUCUUGUAGAGGGGGGUGGAAUUCCAGGUGUAGCGGUGAAAUGCGUAGAGAUCUGGAGGAAUACCAGUGGCGAAGGCGGCCCCCUGGACAAAGACUGACGCUCAGGUGCGAAAGCGUGGGGAGCAAACAGGAUUAGAUACCCCUGUAGUCCCUGUCUCUUAUAC
rnacentral:rRNA from 1 species